CCGCACGGGUGAGUAACGCGUAUGCAACUUGCCUAUCAGAGGGGGAUAACCCGGCGAAAGUCGGACUAAUACCGCAUGAAGCAGGGAUCCCGCAUGGGAAUAUUUGCUAAAGAUUCAUCGCUGAUAGAUAGGCAUGCGUUCCAUUAGGCAGUUGGCGGGGUAACGGCCCACCAAACCGACGAUGGAUAGGGGUUCUGAGAGGAAGGUCCCCCACAUUGGUACUGAGACACGGACCAA
rnacentral:rRNA from 1 species